GACUAAUAGGGUUCACUAUUCAUAUUCUUUCAAAGAAGCAAGAGAACACAAAGUGAUUUUGGUAGAAUGACUACUACUAAUGCUGCUCCAAAGUUUCUUUUGUGCAUUCUUCUCGUGGCUGCGCUUUUUACUUCAGGUGCAAAAAGUGACACAACGGAUAGGACUGCAAUAAUGGAUUGCGAUGAGAAUACAAAACACUGUGAUAUUCAAGAUUGCAGCAAUUUCUGUACCGUAACUAAACAUUUUCAAGCUGGUCAGUGUAAUCCUAAAAGAGGGUGUUGCUGCUAUAGUAACAAUAGGUUAACUUAAGUGCACUUUUCAUCAUGUUUGUUUGUUCAUAUGUAUUUUGAACAAACACAUGUUUUGU